UGGCGGACGGGUGAGUAAUGUCUGGGAAACUGCCCGAUGGAGGGGGAUAACUACUGGAAACGGUAGCUAAUAUCGCAUAACGUCGCAAGACCAAAGAGGGGGACCUUCGGGCCUCUUGCCAUCGGAUGUGCCCAGAUGGGAUUAGCUAGUAGGUGGGGUAACGGCUCACCUAGGCGACGAUCCCUAGCUGGUCUGAGAGGAUGACCAGCCACACUGGAACUGGGACACGGUCCAG
rnacentral:rRNA from 1 species